AAACAUUAGGGACUAUUUUGGUCCUUUUCCAAGCGAAAUCAUUUGGUCACCUUUUUUUCAGUUUAAUAUCUUGAGCUAAAAUCACAGAAAGGCAAAAGAAGAAAAUGGCGAAUCGAACCAACUUCUACAAGAACCCUUCUUAUGCAUACAACAAAGCCUUCAAUCUUAAUUCUGCUAUUCAAAAUCUCCAAGCUUAUAAUGUUGUCACGGGUAACGUUGCUCCUCCGGUUGAGACGAAUUCCGUUGAGGAAAAAACCGGAAACAGGAAACGGUGCCGACGAGAACGGAAAUGUAAGGUGCAGCAGAACAAUGAAGUGGAGGAGAAUAAUUUGCCUAUGUCUCACCAGGAUUAUAUUGCAAAAAUGAGGAAGGAGGCUAGUUCAACUCAGCCUUAUCAAGAAUUGACUGCAGAAGUGUUGGAACCUUCAAGUUCAGCGUUGCCUUUGGUGGAGUACGAGAGUGAUGCAAGCACUUCGUCAGGAUGCGAAAUGGGGGAUAAUCCUUACUCAAACACUGGAAGUUUGGUUGUUCAAGGUGAUGCAAGCACUUUGUCAGGAUGCGAAAUGGUGGAUAAUCCUUAUUCAAACACUGGAAGUUUGGUUGUUAAAGGUAGUGCAAGUGAAAUAGAUAGAGUUAAAACUCGCAGUGAGCAGCGAUUUCCUCUUCCAGGAGAACCUGCUUGUGUGGUAUGCGGGAAGUAUGGAGAGUAUAUAUGUGAUGAAACUGAAGAAGACAUAUGCAGUAUGGAUUGCAAAUCUGACCUCCUGCAAAAUCUUAAAUUCCAGCAGGGGCCCUUAAGUAGCAAUGUCCAAGCUGAGACUUAUUCUGGACCAAAGUGCACAGUGGAAGUUCCUGAAUCUGGAGGCGACAUCUGGGAUUAUGACCGUCAUCGGUGGUCCAAAAAGAGAUCUGCUCUUUGUACUUAUGAGUGUUGGAAAUGUCAGAGGCCAGGUCAUCUUCCUGAAGAUUGUUUGGUCACGGCAUCAAAAAUUCUACCCCUUUCCUCUGGUCAAGCUGGUGAAUCCAGCAAACAGGUGGAAGUGGCUCAAAGUAAAUCCAGUAUAUCCAAAGAGCUUCUCCAACUGUAUAAAAGAUGCCAUCAAAUUGGAAAAAGCUCAUUGGGUGCUAACUGUAACACCUGCCGAAGAUCAACUACUUUAGCCAUGUGUCUGGAUUGUAGUAAUACCUUUUGUGACAGUGCAGGUCACCUGAGAGAACACAUCACUGGACACCCCUCACACAGACAAUAUUACUCCUAUAAGCUCAAGCGUUUGGUAAAAUGCUGCAAAUCUACAUGCAAUGUGACAGACAUCAAGUAUCUUUUAGCUUGUCACUAUUGUUUUGAUAAGGCUUUCGACAAGUUCUACGAUAUGUAUACUGCAACUUGGUAUGUAAUGGUUUUACAUCUAAUGAUCCUGAUAUAUUUUUGUGAAAGCAUGACUAGGCAGGUCAACUCGGUAAUAUGUAAACUCCUGAUCCACUCCCUUCAGCAUGUUAGCAUGCUGGACAGUGAUUCCUACACACUAAAAUACCAGAUCAUAUCGUUGAUUUGAAAUUCUGAAGUUCAAGAAUUUGGGUCCUAGGGACAGUGGUAAUUGCUAUUGGUGCCCCUUCCAUGGCACCCAUUCCAACUGACAAAGACUACUUACACUCAGCAUAAAAAACUAAAACAACAUAUUUUAGUGUCCUGAUAUCCCAUCACAAUGAAAGACUACUUAUACUCAGCAUAAAAAACUAAGUCAACGUAUUUUAAUGUCUUGAUAUCCCAUCACAAUGUGGUUUAGUUCAAAAUAUAUUCUAUUGUAUAGCAUGUUACAACUUAAAUUCUCAUGAAUUCAAUUCGUAUUCACCUCUCUGAAACUUGUCCACGGCCUGGUGUGAGCAUUUUAUUCCCCUUGAAUAACCAGUUAAUUUAAGUUGCUAUAUUCAGGAAAGCAUCUGGACUUUCAAUUAUCUGCAAUUCUAUUUGCUGUGAGGAUCACUUUGAAUGGCACAGGAUAAAUUGCUUGAGUGCGGGUGUAGAAGACAGUUCCUACAUCGUAAAGAAACAUUCUGCUAGUAAGAACAAUGCUUUGAGCGA